rnacentral:rRNA from 1 species
CACGUAGGGCGCAAGCGUUGUCCGGAAUUAUUGGGCGUAAAGAGCUCGUAGGCGGUCUGUUGCGUCCGCUGUGAAAACCCGGGGCUUAACCCCUGGCUUGCAGUGGAUACGGACAGACUAGAGGUAGGUAGGGGAGAAUGGAAUUCCCGGUGUAGCGGUGAAAUGCGCAGAUAUCGGGAGGAACACCGGUGGCGAAGGCGGUUCUCUGGGCCUUACCUGACGCUGAGACGCGAAAGCGUGGGGAGCGAACCGG